rnacentral:rRNA from 1 species
CCUACGGGUGGCAGCAGUGAGGAAUAUUGGUCAAUGGACGCAAGCCUGAACCAGCCAAGCCGCGUGAGGGAAGACGGCUCUACGUGUUGUAAACUGCUUUUGUACGGGGACAAACGCAGGUACGCGUAUCUGUCUGAAAGUAUCGUACGAAUAAGGAUCGGCUAACUCCGUGCCAGCAGCCGCGGUAAUACGGAGGAUGCGAGCGUUAUCCGGAUUUAUUGGGUUUAAAGGGUGCGUAGGCGGUCGGUUAAGUCAGCGGUAAAAGCCCGGGGCUCAACUCCGGCAAGGCCUUGAAAAUGGCGGGGUGGAGUUGGAGAGAAGUACGAGGAAUGCGCGGUGUAGCGGUGAAAGGCUUAUAUAUCGCGCAGAAAUGCGAUUGCGAAGGAAGCAGGGCGGCUCCACACUGACGCUGAGGCACGAAAGCGUGGGUAUCGAACAGGAUUAGAUACACCAGUAGUC